GACGAACGCUGGCGGCGCGCCUAACACAUGCAAGUCGAACGGAGCUGCGAGGAGCUUGCUUUUCUUAGCUUAAUGGCGAACGGGUGAGUAACGCGUGAGUAACCUGCUCUGUAGUGGGGGACAACAGUUGGAAACGACUGCUAAUACCGCAUAAGCCCACGAUCCGGCAUCGGAUUGUGGGAAAAGGACUUAUUCUCUUCAGGCUGGACUCGCGUCCCAUUAGCUAGUUGCUGAGGUAACGCCCCACCACGGCGACCAUUCGUAGCCGACCUGGGAGGUUGAUUGUCCACUUAGAGACUGACCCACGGCCCCGUCUCGUCCGCGGGGCAACGGUGAAGGAUAUUGCAGACUGGGGGAAACCCUGCUGCAGCAACGUGGCGUGGAGGAAGAGGCUUUUCCAAGCGUCAACUCCAGGCGUAAGGGACGAUUAUGACGGUACCGAACAAGCAAGCACCGGCUAACUACGUG
rnacentral:rRNA from 1 species